AACGAACGCUGGCGGCAGGCCUAACACAUGCAAGUCGAGCGAAGCCUUCGGGCUUAGCGGCGGACGGGUGAGUAACGCGUGGGAACGUGCCCUUUGGUACGGAAUAGCCCCGGGAAACGGGGAGUAAUACCGUAUGUGGUCGAGAGACGAAAGAUUUAUCGCCAAAGGAUCGGCCCGCGUUGGAUUAGGUAGUUGGUGGGGGAAUGGCCUACCAAGCCGACGAUCCAUAGCUGGUUUGAGAGGAUGAUCAGCCACACUGGGACUGAGACACGGCCCAGACUCCUACGGGAGGCAGCAGUGGGGAAUCUUAGACAAUGGGGGAAACCUUGAUCUAGCCAUGCCGCGUGAUCGAUGAAGGCCUUAGGGUUGUAAAGAUCUUUCAGUGGGGAAGAUAAUGACUGUACCCACAGAAGAAGCCCCGGCUAACUCCGUGCCAGCAGCCGCCGUAAUAC
rnacentral:rRNA from 1 species